UAAUACGUAGGGUCCAAGCGUUAAUCGGAAUUACUGGGCGUAAAGCGUGCGCAGGUGGUUCGUUAAGCGCGAUGUGAAAUCCCCGGGCUCAACCUGGGAAUUGCAUUGCGAACUGGCGAACUAGAGUACGGGAGAGGGGGGUGGAAUUCCACGUGUAGCAGUGAAAUGCGUAGAGAUGUGGAGGAACACCGAUGGCGAAGGCAGCCCCCUGGCCUGCUACUGACACUCAUGCACGAAAGCGUGGGGAGCAAACAGG
rnacentral:rRNA from 1 species